rnacentral:lncRNA from 1 species
CCCGCGACGCCUCGACCCCCGGGGCCACCAGCCCCCAGGGCUCCGAGUUGAGGCGCUUCAGCGGCCGUCCCCGGGCGCGGGAUGGCUCCGGCACGGCGGUGGCGGCCGGCGGCGGCGGCGGUGGGAAGCGGAAGACGUCCCGCUCCUCCUCCUUCUCGCUGCCCGCCGGCGAGGCCGCCGUGCGCACCUCGAUGUCGGAGGGCGACAUGCAGAGCGCCGGCGAGCGCUUCUCCUCCAGCCCCGGCGAGGGGGGCGAGUUCAGGCGUCCAGCAGCGCCUGCAGCGUCUCCCGGUCGCCCCGGUUGAUGGCGUAAACCAGAGCGGAGGCGCCGGCGUAGUCGCGGGCGCUGGGGUCGGCGCCAUGGGCCAGCAGCACGGCGGCCACGGCGGCCCCGGCGCGCUCGGCGCAGGCGUGCAUCAGCGCCGUCUUGCCCGUCUUGUCGGGGAUGUUGGGGUCGGCGCCGUUCUCCAGGAGGUAGCGCACCAUGCGGGGCUGCUCCAGCGGGUCGGCGUAGCGAGCCCGGCACGCGGCCAUCAGUGGCGUCUGCCCCGCAGCGUUGCCCUCGUUGAUGUAGGCUCCCCCUUCCAGCAGCAGCCGGGUGAGGCGAAACUUGCCCUGGGCCACGGCCCGCAGCAGCGCCGAGCCGUCCGCGGGCAGCAUGGCCAGGCCAGGAGGCGCCGCGGCGCCGGGCGGGCGGCGCACGGGGCUGGGCAUCGCACGCUCAGGGCCACCGGGACGGCGCGCGGCGGUGCCGAGGAGCCCGGAGCAUCGCGUGCCUACGGCAGCAGGGAACGGCGAGGGGACGGAGCGGGGACGGGGUGGUCCUGGAGCAUCGCGCGCUCACCGCAGCGGGACACGGAGCGGGGCCGGCGCGUGGGUGUGGCGUUCCCGGGGUGUCAGGGGGACGCGGCACGGGGACGUCGUGUGGCCCUGGGGGGGGCAGGAGCGGCGCGCGCUUAGCGCUGUGCGUUGAAACCCUUCCGAUCCCUCCCCGCCGGCAGUCCCAGCUCCCUGCCUCAGUUUCCCCAGCUGCCAUGGUUGCUGCCCCCCUCCUGUGCUCCCCCCGGGGCCGGGGGGCUGCUCAGGCUUGGGGGGGGGGCACUGAUGGGGUCCGCGGAGGGGACAGUUCCCGGGGAGGUGACCAGCUGUCACCGCGCAGCCCCCGGUGCCCUGCGGCCCCGGGGCCUCUCUGCCACUGCCUUCGGGCUGUGCCCGCCUCCCUGCGCGGUGCCUGCGGCCCCAAAUCCCCAGGGCCCCCUUCCUCCUCCACCCUCCUUCCCUUCCCCUCUACCCCUCCGGGCCCCCACCUGCAGCCACCUGCAGCCCUGCUGUCUCCUCUCCCAUACCCCCCAAAUC